GGCCUGUGAUGAUUCAAAUUGUCCGUACCAUCUGAGAUACAUUAUCUUUGAUGUAUUAAACUUUCGCCUUUUCUGAGGCCU